rnacentral:sRNA from 1 species
AUCAAUCAUAUGUUAAUAAAGCAAUAAACGAGACAAUAAUUGAAACUUUAUAUUCUAGUAUAAACGAUAUUAAAUUAAAUUUGACUAGCUAUGUAAGAUCUUAUAUUCACUUCAGAAUAUGAGUAUUACUUAUCAUCAAUAACUCAUAUAUUUUCUUAGCCUUUGAAAAACACUCGAUUUAAGUUCAUAAUAGUUCUUAAAUUUCUUUCAAAAUAUUGUGUCUACAGGACAACAAUACUUGCGUAAAACUUUAAGCGUCUGUUUUACCAUCUCUUCAUUAGAGAUAUUCUCUUAACAAUGUGAGUUAUAUUCACAAAGAGACUUCAAAUCUUGAAGUUUUAGUAAUAACUAAUUAUAACUUAUUUUAUCUAACACAUUCGUAUAAGAAUUGCUUUAUACAACUUUUAGAUCUUUAGUAGUCAAAGAUUGAACAUAAUCUUCUGGAUAUGUCACUUAUUAU